UCUGGGAAACUGCCUGAUGGAGGGGGAUAACUACUGGAAACGGUAGCUAAUACCGCAUAAUGUCGCAAGACCAAAGAGGGGGACCUUCGGGCCUCUUGCCAUCGGAUGUGCCCAGAUGGGAUUAGCUUGUUGGUGGGGUAACGGCUCACCAAGGCGACGAUCCCUAGCUGGUCUGAGAGGAUGACCAGCCACACUGGAACUGAGACACGGUCCAGACUCCUACGGGAGGCAGCAGUGGGGAAUAUUGCACAAUGGGCGCAAGCCUGAUGCAGCCAUGC
rnacentral:rRNA from 1 species